UACCUUUUUUUCUAUUUUAAACCAAACAUAACAGUAACAUCUGGCUUAACUAACGUUUGCAUCUACGUGACGUUUCCUCUAAGUCUGCUCCAAAUUCACUGACAUCACGUUAAAGAUUUUUGUUUUAUUAAAACUGAUUGCUUAAAAUGAAUCUUUUCAACACGUUUAACAUUAUCACUGGUGCACACUGUUUAUGCCAUGAUUUGUACCUGUAAUGCGAUUACUGCAGGGAUUGCUUUGGGUUGAUUUUUAACUUUGCUUUGUGUCUUCAGAGAAAGAUAGUAUCUGUAUACUCAUUAGGGAACGAUUGUGUGUGGAACCUUACCCACAGGUGUUUAUUGUUAACUGGUAAUUAUGUGACAUUUCAGGUCAUUUUACAGAGUAACGAGACAGUAAGGUAACAAAUUACUUUCUUUGGUGUACUGCAUUAAUUUUAAGAAAAGUACUGAGUAAUGUGUGACACUUUUUGAGUAACGACCCCGACACUGAAACUGAUAGUGGUCCCAGCACAGAGCCUCGGGCACAACAGUAAUCCAGUUUCAGCUGCGCCCAUCGACUUUCACACAAUGCAAAAGGAAGUUUGGGGGUGUUUUAAGGCCAUGACUGAGUGACUGGAUUAAGCCAGAAAGCUGUCUGCUACUUUCAGAGAUACGACCCCUGGAAACAGGAAGCCCCGCUGUGUUUACUUUCCCUCCAUCCCUUUAAUGAGGACAACCUGCAGAGGGAGGGAGAGUUCAGGGCCCCCAUCACUCAGCAGCUUACGCCACCCCAACUCCCCCCAAACACAUUCCUCGCUCUCUUGUCUCCCUGCACCAUAAACACUCAGGAAAUCCACCCACGUGUGGGGGAUUCGAAGGUCAGAGGUCGCAGCAUUCGAGCUGUUUUGAGGCAGGUAUGCCUCCUGGGUGAGAUCAAUGCUGCGGGCUGAGCCAGGCCCCACCAAGCUGGCAGGAGGAGGGCGGUGUUUGUCUCCCACGCAGAGCUGAUUAAAAACAGAUCAACUGCCUGCCUCGACCCGAUGCAAUGAUCUGAGCUCACGCUAAUGACAUAUUGUGAGUUUGUGUUCCUGUCGACCUCUAUCACAGUAUCAGUUAUGAUUGUGAAAUAAUACCUGUAUCUAGUAAACAGCGUCACCUUGUCAGACACACCAACCCUGCUCAGGUGGAGGAGAAAAGCUAAAAUAUUUCAGAGGUUUGCUCGCGUGGCAUCAACAAUGUUUUCCCCUCACUCAUCUCUUCAAGCCAACCAUUUGUUCCUUUAAGCUACGUUCCGUGCUUUCUGGGCACUUGCCCACACAUACACAGGUGUUUUUAAGAUUAAACUUUUUCUUUGAGUUGUGACCUUCUGAUCACACACAUCGAGUGUUAUGUGACUGACAAGGGACGUUUUGGAGAAGUCUCUGCAGAUCAUGCAUUUCUGAUUGGUCUGUGUGGCUUUGGAUUCUGGGUGCUGUCACUGCCUGUAGGCUUGACAUGCUUUUGAUUGAGUUUCAGUUGUGUUUCCAUGCAUACAAAGACUUUUUUUGUUUGUUUUAAACAUCUUUAUAUAACAAACAUGGAAAACACUAUAAUAAAGACUAUUCCUUGUUAUGAGAUAGCUCAUGCCCAAGUAAUCCUGAGUUGGACAGAUGGUUAAGAAAAUGGAUGGAGGGAGGCCUGGUUGCUUCAUUCUUGGCAAUGUAACAUCAGUUUUCAAAUUUUGCAUGCCAGAUUUUUGAAAAUAAACUGUCCCAGAAAAUUCAUGUUUUUAGAUUCUUCUGUUUAAGAGGAAGAAUUUUAAGAGGGCACAAAAAGUAAAAUGUUUGCAUAAACAAGCUCUCCAUCACUGUGCUGACUGAAGGGAACACACUGUACAAAAGAUGUCCCUAUCAGAUUUUAAAAGGGAAGUGCCUUGGACCUGAUUUAUCUUUAAUGACCAGAAGGGGGCGACUCUUCUGGUUGUACUGAAGUUCAUGAAAAAACUGUCAUCAACCCCAAUAAAUACUUCCAAUUUAAGUUACAGUUAUUUGAUAAUAAGUUUGUUAUGAAAUUUAUGAUCACAGUCAAAAAGAAAGAUUAUCACAAGUAAGCUCAUUGGCUGACUCACUGGUCAUUGGCCAGUCAGUGUGGAGUGCGUUCAUUUUCUCAAUCACACACUUUGCUUGUCACAUCCAUCCCGUUUUUAAUAUUACCAAGAUGCUCAAGCCAAAUGUGACUCCACAAACCAACAGCUGAUGUCAUGUU